GUGGCACAGCCCGCGGCGCCUCCGACCUGCGCACAACGCGGGACGCAGCGGCGCGCGCGGGGUGCGGAGGCCGCAGGUUUGCUUCCCCACCAGUAAAAUGAGGUAAUGGUGUGAAAUCGAUCACGUUGUUGAAGAGUUGAAAUGAGAGAUUGUGCAUCAGUAUCCAGCUCAGGUCCCUGCCUACAUCAUACCAAUUUAACAUUCAACCUGUUAAAUAUGGAAAUACUACCAUACUGGUUGGAAAGUGGUCCCCACUGUAGCCUUUCUGUUCGCCCACCUCUGCUCUGGACUGCUCACCACCCAGCAGUGGCCGGGGAGCUCGUUCCUGGCACAGGGGGAGCCGGUACUCCAGGUGAGAGCCUUUCUGUUUUGUUGUGAUAGUGACUUAUCUAUCCAGAAUAAUGGCACCUCUGAAUCUGGGUUUCUUAGAAGACAGUAAUGAGACAUAUUAUUUCACUGCAAAAUAUAUUCACUCCAAACAAAAAUGUAUUUUUCGACUAAGAAAUAUGCCAAGAUCCUGUCAGGAAAUAGCAACUUAGCCUAUCUUAUGGGGAGGUCAAUAAAGGAGUGAUUUUGAAAGGAAACAAUAUGGUAAAUCCAUGGGAAAGAAAAUCGUUACACCCUUAAGUGUAAGUUCAAUGAUCGCUAGAAACUAUAAGGACAAAGGCCCUUUUGAGAAACUGACUGACUUGUAGUUGACAGCUACAGUCGACCAUUGCAUCCUCUAGGGAAUGAGCCCAGGGACUAGGCACUCCAGUUUUUCUCCCUGUGGUCUUUUACCAAGAAUUCUUCUGGAUGGGCCAAACUGGAAAUCAAAAGAUUGUCUCUAUAGUAUUUUUUUUUUUGAUAGCUUCCAUGGUAGUGUUAAUUUGGUCAGAACAAGUAAGCCUAAAAGAGCAAUGGUACACAUUUAGCUGUUUUUUAAAAAAUUAUUCCACAAUGAAAAUUUCUACCUAGAGAAGAAUUUUAGAGUCUCAGAUGUAGGCUAUAAUCAGGAUAUGAGUUGAUUAUAUUCACUUGACAGGUAACCUGAGUUGAUGUGCGGUGAUGGGAGGGAAAAAGCCACAGGGGCAGCAAGUACCUGAGAACUGCAGAGAGGUGGAAAACCACUGCGGAUAUGGGGGCAUCUUGAAUAAACAGCUCUUGGCCACAGAGGUCAGCAGUGACAGGAGUGGGUGUGUAACCACAGAGAGCAAGCAUUGCCCUGCUUAUCACCAGCUACUUCUCCGCAGGACCUGAGGGUAACUCAUCUUCACAACUGUUCCAAAAUCACCUUGGCGGAGACCUUCAAGAAUGUCUCAGAGGUAUAACUCAAGCAGUUUAUAGCCACUGAGUCUUUUCAUGGAAUUUCAUAAAGAAACCCAACAUAAGACACAAAAAUAAAACCUCUGUGUUUGGGGUGGUGCCCCUCCUUUUUUCAUGCGUGCCUACCCAGGGCACGUAGAUGAUGUGAUGAGAUCAUGUCGGAGUGGUUAGUCUCAUGAUUAUAGACUCUGUCUUCCAUGUCUGUGGGUGGAGCCUUCUCCCAAUACUUCCCAAGUUACGGAGGCUUCUCUGUUUUCUCUAGACUUGUUUUAUUAGCUAGUUGAUAAUGAAUUGGUGAUGAUGUAACCACCCAGCUAUCUGAGAACCUAAUACCCAUGACGUCUACUACAAAUGCACAUUGCAGAACUUUUGUAAAUGUAUUGGUGCUCUCUACAAGAGUCUGAGCCGCUUGCUCUGCCACGUGCCUGUACAGUGCAGCAGGUUUAGGCACGUAGAGAGUCUAGUGGACGGUAAGGGCUGAGAAUUCUGGUCUGGUGGGAGCCUAGAGAGAGCAGGAGUUCCCAGAAAGAGCAAGUUAGCUUGAGUCCUAACCAAGCAGCCCAGGUGUAUUCUCAGGUCUACCAGACUGUAAAAUCUAGGGUAAAUGAAAGCACACGACUUACCUAGAAGGAGAACUCUGCUUCUGUGAUAUGGAAAUUGGGUAAGCUGCUUAUAGUUAUGUUUUUAAGAUACUUUGUAAAUUAGAAAUAAAUUCAGUAAUAAAACUCUAGUGAGACAUAAAUACUUGUAUACAUAGGUGAUUGGAUGUACAGUUAUGUUUCCCACGAUUCACGCACAGAUGUCUUAUUGGGCAUUACUCUGUUCCAGAUACACAAAAAUAAAUAUUCAUAAUAUCUAUGUUUAUUGAAGAGAGUAUGUAUUUCAACUAUAAAUAAUCAUAAUUUAAUGUUUCCAAAGUGGCUAAGCCAAAUUAUUCUAAAUUAAGCAGUAAAUUUUAAUAGGAUUUCUAGGUGUGAUUUCAAGAGAAUGAUAUUUCUAAAAGUGCCUGUGUAUUCUAUAAAAUAAGCAUCUUUUUGGUUUAUUGUAUAAAGGCAGGUCUAUAGCCUGUCUAAAUGAGUAACUAGUAAGUCACACAUCUUUUGUUUACACUUUCUCUUUUCUGCUGUUAUAAAACCUGUGUGUUGCUAAUUCUAGACUAAGCAUCUCAGUGGACUGAGAGAGGGCCUUGUCCCAGAUGUUCUCAGCACAGUGGACUCUGGUUCUUUGAUACAGUAUCAGUGCCCUGGUAACAAAUGCAUUGCAGUGUAGUGUAGCUGGGACAGUGUGUCUUCUUCCUGAAUUUCAAACAUAAACCCAAAUUGAAAUUGCCCAACUAAUACCUGCUUUGUCCUUCUUGCCAAAAGUUCCAGUUGCAGCUAUACAAGUGAAAAUGGGUGUAAAUUAAUUUUAAAAUGUUCUUCCCAUAUUUCUGCCUUAAAGAAGGAAAUGUGUUUAUGAAAUAUAUUAGUGGCCCUUGUCAAGAAGUCAAACUGCUUUGGUUCCAUGCUGCUUUUCCAGAGCAAAUCUUCUCUAGACUGACGUCAUAAUCAAGAUGGAAUGCUUCAGAAACAGUCCUUUUCAAUACAAACAAAGCAACAAAAGCACAAAGAGUAUGCGAAUGGCUUUAAAAAAUACCAACAAAUUUGUAGUAAUAUACCUGAUGUUGCAAAUGGCACACAUCUUAGGCAAAGGCUUCCUUGCCAUCUGCAGGAACAAGUAUUCCUGAGGCUAGAACAUUGUUAGAUGCCAGUAGUGAGAUGUGCACAGUCAGCUGCUGAUGUCCUUUCCAGGAUUGCCACCAUGGCCUGCAGGGCCAUCCAGUUGGCCCCCUGCCAGGUCCUCUUUCUGGCACACAUGUUCUCUAACGUUGAGCUCAUGGUCUUGGUUCUCCAGGUUCUCUUGGGGUUUCCUCAUUUCUCUUCUGUCUUUGUCUUUGUGGGUAUUUACUGUGGAAAUGAUUUACAUAUUUCCAGAGGACUAGAGUAAUUGGGUGGGGGCAUCUAGAAAUGCACACACGAGUGCACUGCUUGGUGUGAAUUGACAUUUUCAGAGCUUAGCUCAGUGCGAGACCUUGGAGAUGCGCAUAUUGAAGGGGAGCACGAGGAGACGGUACAGGGAAGUAGCAUGCUCUUCUUGUCCGUUUGCUUUUUGACACAGGGUCUUUCAGUGUAUGAGCAUCCGUGUGGGCAUAAGUCAUCACUUGCAGCUCUGUACAGUUUUAUGAAAAGAAUAAAAUGUAGAGCUUUAACCAUGUAGAGCUUUAGGAAACUUGGAGAGACUCGAUCAAUGAGGCAGUGCCUGCAUAGUGUAGAAAGCACAGGGAGCUGUUGUGGUUGGAAGCACUUCUGUUCUCUCCUGUAGAGUGUCAGAUGGGACCACUACUCACCACAGUCACCUGGAGCUCCUUAAUGUGGCCAGGCUGCGUUCCACCUUGAAACCCCAUCUGGAAUCAGCUCGUCUGGAAGCUUUUGGAGUCUUUGGAUCUGAAUACUGCCCUGUCAUUGAUAGCAAUUCACAACAUUAGAUUUUAAUAGACCAAAAGCCUAUGUGAACAAAAAUGGCGAUUGGGCCCAAGUUGCUGGUAAGACUUCACCAGUGAAGCCAAAAUGCCCUGCAGGGUGAAACGGCUGGAAACAUCCGGGUUGUGUAUAUAGUGCUCCUUAGUCUUACCAAAGGGGAUUGGUCAUUGCCGGCAUGGCAUUAGGCUGUUUGGACCACCAUUUAGAAAAAAUGGCGAUCUGGGUUCAGUGAGACCCACAGCUUCCCUGGCUUGCAGGUGACCAUCUUCCCUGCUGUGUCUUCAUAGACUUUUCCUUACUUCCCUCUGACGUAGGGGAGGCCGUGGAGGGGGUGUAGCAAAUGCUCUGGUGCAUCUCUUCUUACUAGGUCACAAAUCCUGCUGGAUCAGGUUAUCACCCUUAUGAACUUACUUAACAUUAAUUACUUCAGGUUUAAUUACCUUAGGGACCCCAUCUUCAAAUGCAGCCUCACUUGGAGUUGGUAAGGAUUUCAAUUGGAGGGGUGUGGGGAGUGGAAGUAUUCAGUCCACGGUUAUCAUUUAUUUGUUAACAUUUAUCCAGAAGGGUAGACGUUAUAACAGGCUGUUCGUAAGGUUGUAAUAAAGACCUUUCAUCCGCAGAUGUUGUUGAAAGUUUGCAUAUACAUCACCAUGUUUAGUUAUUAUGAUAAUAGCUCAUUUGAGUCUCCCUGGGACCAUAGAAGGUAGGUAUCUUUUGUCUCUGGUAAGCACAAGGCUUAGAUAAAUUAGGUGAGUUACUAAUUAGGAAAUAAAAUUGCAGUCUUGUCGUAUGAACUGUGUCACACAGAUGUUCAACAUAACUGUCUAACAUCACAGCUCAAGGCCCGGAUGACAAGGGCAGAGUUGUCUGGACAGGCUCUAGAAUCCUUCUUAUGUCAUCAUUGCCCUUACUCCUGUAAAAGUGGGUGCCAGCACGCUCCAGCCUGUGCUCUGUCAAGGACUCAGCCUUACUCCAGCUCCCACUUGGGAGCUCACUGUGACCAGAUGCCCAAGCCUUACUUCCAACGGUGCUUCACAUAUAAGAGACGUGUGACAGGGAUGGCACUGAUGGGAUCAGUGACUUCCUUGAGCUCAUGACCCUCCCAGCAUCAUCACUGUAAUCACUUACAGACAGGGUUAAUUCCUACUGAUGCUGUGUUUUUAAAGAGCAUGCUGGGAAACUAGUCAUAUUGUGUACUUUAAAAAGCCAAUUGUUUCUCCUUCCCUCUUUCCCACUGGGUUUCUAUGAAUUUAGGCAAAUAGAAAAUGGCUUCAUUUUGGCCUUCUUUACUGGAGAUCCUAUUAAAGUAUCUUCUACAUUUUCUACUAGCUAAAACCUGAUUCUGUAUAGAAUACACUUAAAAAUUAAGAUCGUGAAGACUGACUGAAGUUUAUCAUCAUUUAUGGUUUGUCCUGAAUUUUAAUAAUGAUAGAUGUAUUUCUCCUUUCCUCUGAAGGAAAAGAACUCAAGAAUGGAUAGAAGGGUGUAACUGAUAAAUGAGAGUCCCUGAGAGGAGACAAGCCUGAUAGUCUGUGUACUGGGAGAAAGACAGGUAGCGGGUGGGGAUGAGGGAAGAACGUGGGGUCAUUCAACAGUCAAGACUGGGCAAGCAGGGAGUAAAACUUGUUUGGAGCAGUUCUUCUGUGUAUUAAUAGUUGUCUCAGUUAUACAAACAUUCACUUGAGCAGUUCCUGAUUAAUUUAAUUCCUAAAUUAAAGCAGUUCUGUGUUUAGUAGUUUUCUUCCAUAGAAAGAAUUCUAUAAAAUUAAAAUUAUAUAAACAAUGGAUGUGUGUGCGUACACAGUCCUACUGAAAGGGCACUUGAGAAACCUGAGAUAUUAUUUCAUUUUUCUUUUCUAUACAUCAUCCUUUUUUAAAAAACUCUUUUAAAAGAUCUUACAUUGUAAGUUUUUUCUCUAAAAUUCAUAUGGCUGAGUUCUUAGGUACAAUUUGAAGUGGGUGUUUUUGUUUUUGUGUGUUUAUUUUUAUCUACUGUGUGUGUAUGCACACACACACACGAUUCCCUUCCACCUUGUUGCUUUUUCUCUCACUGGGACAUUUCUAUAUGUAAAUGAACAGUGACUACACAGUGUGUGACAGUGACACUUGAGGUUCUUGUGUAGAUUUUGAAUCUCUCCAGUGACCUUCCUAUUAUCAUUGCCCAUAUCUAAGAAAUGGUAUUUUUUCACCAUAACCUAUAUUUACCUAUGUGUGUAUAAUAUGUAUAUAUCUUUUAGUGUGU
rnacentral:sRNA from 1 species